GCAGUCCAAAAAUUAAGUAAUGGAACCAGAUGAAGGGCUAACCGAGCCAAAUGGCUGGCUAACUAAGCCAAAUUCAGAUUUUGUGAGACAAAAUUGAACUUUAUUUCAAGCCAUGGUUGCAUUUGAAGUGGAUCAAUUGGUUUUGAAGUGUUUACUUUAUGUCACAUCAAUAACUUUUCCUUUGAAAAAAUCAAAACUGACAAAACUGUAUUACUUAGUUUUCUUACUUCCCUCUCCAUUCAUAUUUUCUUCACAUCGCCCAAGAACAAAUUCAUCUUUCUCUCCGGAAAUCUUCAUCAUUGUUUGGUACCAAGAAGCCCAAGCAGAAGAAAAAACAAAAUUGCUGGCAGAAGAGCAGUGUAACGUCACUUUCAUCACCAACAAAAAAUCUGACUGUUAUCGUUUUAAAUUCAAAGCUCUAGAGAAAAAGCAGUCAAAGCUCUACCACUUUCAAAUUCAAAUUUCAAACUCUCUUCCUCCUCUCUCUCUCUCUCUAAACCCCAAAGCUUUUGAGACUCUGAUCCGAGAUCGAACACGAUGGAUGAAGAGUAUGAUGUCAUCGUUUUAGGUACUGGUCUUAAGGAAUGCAUUCUCAGUGGUCUUCUCUCCGUCGAUGGCCUCAAAGUUCUUCACAUGGAUAUUGAAAACUGAGCUCCUCCCUCCCUCAAGGAGGUAAACUUUUCAUUCCUGAAACCUGAAUCAUGUUCUCCCAUAAGUGUAGAAAAUGGACUAAAGUGUUUCAGAAUUCAAUUAUCAGAAUUUGAGGAAAAAGGCUCACAAACCCAAUGACAACAAAGAUCGAUGAAGCAGAGCACACGGCCCAGCGACGACAAAUGUUAUUGUCUGAUUUUUGGAACCUUGGCAGCUGCAUUGGUGGAAAUUUGCUCGAGAUCCUAAUUUUGAGGGAUUGCAUGCAUCUCAAAGAAGUAAGGAUGUUUAUAAGAAGCCAAACUAUGUCCAAAUAUUUGUAAAGUCACAAUUAUUGGAAUGCGCAUUUGCUUAAAGGAGAAAAGAGAACAAGUUUGUUUGAAUGGGUCUAAUAUGACAUUGUGUGACAGGCUUGAGUUGAAAUGAGACUUUGCUAUUUUUCAAUUGGGAUCUUCUUUCCUGCUAGACAGGGGUUUUUAUGUUGUUAUUCUUCUCUACAUACAUGUUUAGGGCUGAAAAUAUGCUUUUGAGUGUUCAUUUGAUUUACAAAUCCAGCAACGACAAAGAUCGAUGAAGAUUUGGAAUUAAGGUAUCCUCAUAAAGGAAUGUUCAAAGAGCUUCCCAAAAAGCAAGGUAUUUGAAACCCAUGAAGAUAUAAUUGAAAUCCCUUCCUUAUUUCAUGAUUUCAUUUCAUAUUCUGAUUUCUUUUUUGUGAAUUUUAUUGUUUGUUUAGGUUCACAAAAUUACGGUUUGAUUGUGUAAGUUUUCUAAACUUUAUUUGAUUGUAUUUGAGUAGUAUUUAGUUCAUGUUUGGGAUUUGAGUAAGUUUUCGUUUUGAUUUUCGUUUCAGAAUUAAAUUUUAUCAGAAAACUUGGGUUUGUUUUGAUUAUCAAAAAAUGGAAUAUAGUGUUUCAGAAAUCAAUUAUUAAUAUAGUUGUUCAUGAAUUUGAAGAAAAAGGUAUGUCUUUUUUUAUUUGAAUUCUCUAUUUUUCUUCAAUUGUGUUUCUUAUAUCUGAUUUUAUAAUCAUCUCUCUCUCUAUUUUUUUUUUUUUGAAAUUAUUGUUGCUUAGUUGUCAUAUUUAUUAGGAUUUGUUUCUAUGUGUUUUAGUUAAUAAUAAUCGCUACCUUUUAGGAGUUGUUAGUGGGAUUUAGAUGAUUUUCUCAAAUACAAUAUGACUGAUUUGUUUUUGUUAAAUUUUAGAUUUUCUUUUUUUUUAGAUUUGUAUCAAUUUUUUUUUUUUUGUUUUGUUUUUGAUUUGUUUUAUUUGUUAUUCCAAAGCAGCGCCAGCAUGGUUUCCUUCUUUUAUUUUCCUUCCCACACGUUGUUGCUUUCUUUCUCUAUCUUCGCACCAUUCCAUUUUGGUGAAAAACCAAAAGCUGCUUUGCAAUCCUAUUCUACGAGCUUUGACCAAAACUUUCAAAUUUCACAAGCUUUGGCAGAAAAGAUGUAGCGUCACUUUCAUCUGUCUCUCUCAAAGCAAAAUAUUGCAGCACUACUCUGUUGUUUUUUGUUUUGUUGACUGAUUUCAAAAUUCAAUUUCUCCCUCUAACUCACUUUCUUAUUCAUCUCACUCCAUUUUUUCCUGAUUCCUUCUCUCCAAAGAUUGCAAAUUGUUUCUCCAUAUGUUAUUUCUCAAUUGUUUGUUCAGAUUAUUUUUGGUAUAUUCAUGAAGAUAUUGUUCUUCAAACUUGCAAACAGAGUGAAUCUCGCAAGCCUCUUGCAUUUGCUCCUAAAGUCAUUCCAAGUGCAGACUCCGUGACUGAAGUUUUGAUUGACCCAAACAAAACUCCAACUUCAGCACGCCAUAAAAGAGGGUGCAACUGCAAGAAAUCAAGCUGCCUAAAGAAAUAUUGUGAAUGCUAUCAGGGUGGUGUUGGUUGCUCCAUUAGCUGCAGAUGUGAAGGGUGCAAGAAUGCAUUCAGCAGAAAGGAUGGGUUUGCUUCU